CCUACGGGAGGCAGCAGUGGGGAAUAUUGCACAAUGGGGGAAACCCUGAUGCAGCGACGCCGCGUGAAGGAUGAAGUAUUUCGGUAUGUAAACUUCUAUCAGCAGGGAAGAAAAUGACGGUACCUGACUAAGAAGCCCCGGCUAACUACGUGCCAGCAGCCGCGGUAAUACGUAGGGGGCAAGCGUUAUCCGGAUUUACUGGGUGUAAAGGGAGCGUAGACGGUAUGGCAAGUCUGAUGUGAAAGGCCAGGGCUCAACCCUGGGACUGCAUUGGAAACUGUCGAACUAGAGUGUCGGAGAGGCAAGUGGAAUUCCUAGUGUAGCGGUGAAAUGCGUAGAUAUUAGGAGGAACACCAGUGGCGAAGGCGGCUUGCUGGACGAUGACUGACGUUGAGGCUCGAAAGCGUGGGGAGCAAACAGGAUU
rnacentral:rRNA from 1 species